AUCCUGGCGGCGUGCUUACCAUGCAGUCGAACGAUGAUCCCAGCUUGCUGGGGGAUUAGUGGCGAACGGGUGAGUAACACGUGAGUAACCUGCCCUUAACUCUGGGAUAAGCCUGGGAAACUGGGUCUAAUACCGGAUAUGACUCCUCAUCGCAUGGUGGGGGGUGGAAAGCUUUAUUGUGGUUUUGGAUGGACUCGCGGCCUAUCAGCUUGUUGGUGAGGUAAUGGCUCACCAAGGCGACGACGGGUAGCCGGCCUGAGAGGGUGACCGGCCACACUGGGACUGAGACACGGCCCAGACUCCUACGGGAGGCAGCAGUGGGGAAUAUUGCACAAUGGGCGAAAGCCUGAUGCAGCGACGCCGCGUGAGGGAUGACGGCCUUCGGGUUGUAAACCUCUUUCAGUAGGGAAGAAGCGAAAGUGACGGUACCUGCAGAAGAAGCGCCGGCUAACUACGUGCCAGCAGCCGCGGUAAUACGUAGGGCGCAAGCGUUAUCCGGAAUUAUUGGGCGUAAAGAGCUCGUAGGCGGUUUGUCGCGUCUGCCGUGAAAGUCCGGGGCUCAACUCCGGAUCUGCGGUGGGUACGGGCAGACUAGAGUGAUGUAGGGGAGACUGGAAUUCCUGGGUGUAGCGGUGAAAAUGCGCAGUAUAUCAGGAGGAACACCGGAUGGCGAAGGCAGGUCUCUGGGCAUUAACUGACGCUGAGGCAGCGAAAGCAUGCGGGAGCGAACAGGAUUAGAUACCCUGGUUAGGUCCCAUGACCGCCCAU
rnacentral:rRNA from 1 species